UGACACUGACACUGAGGUGCGAAAGCGUGGGUAGCAAACAGGAUUAGAUACCCUGGUAGUCCACGCCGUAAACGAUGUCGACCAGCCGUUGGGUGCCUAGCGCACUUUGUGGCGAAGUUAACGCGAUAAGUCGACCGCCUGGGGAGUACGGCCGCAAGGUUAAAACUCAAAUGAAUUGACGGGGGCCCGCACAAGCGGUGGAGCAUGUGGUUUAAUUCGAUGCAACGCGAAGAACCUUACCUACUCUUGACAUCCUGCGAAUUUGGUAGAGAUACCUUAGUGCCUUCGGGAACGCAGAGACAGGUGCUGCAUGGCUGUCGUCAGCUCGUGUUGUGAAAUGUUGGGUUAAGUCCCGUAACGAGCGCAACCCUUGUCCUUAUUUGCCAGCGCGUAAUGGCGGGAACUCUAAGGAGACUGCCGGUGACAAACCGGAGGAAGGUGGGGACGACGUCAAGUCAUCAUGGCCCUUACGAGUAGGGCUACACACGUGCUACAAUGGUCGGUACAAAGGGUUGCCAACUCGCGAGAGUGAGCCAAUCCCGAAAAGCCGAUCUCAGUCCGGAUCGGAGUCUGCAACUCGACUCCGUGAAGUCGGAAUCGCUAGUAAUCGUGGAUCAGAAUGCCACGGGUGAAUACGUUCCCGGGCCUUGUACACACCGCCCGUUCACACCAUGGGAGUUGGGACUGCACCAGAAGUGGUUAGCCUAACGCCAA
rnacentral:rRNA from 1 species